CUCUUCCACAGCGCUCGAUUUUCGGUAAGUUGAUCUUUGCAUGCGAUCCGCCGUUGUCCUGAGGAUCCCGCUUUGGCGACACUGAGAUAGCCGACUAGAGGUCGCCUCCGGCCGUUGUCGCCCAAGCCAGGUUUGUGGAGGGAUAACGUCUGUGGGAGCUGGGAGUCGGCCUGCCCGAGGACAACUCCGUCCUGCUGGUUCGCGGUCGCAUUGGCCGACGUCGCCAGGGCACCGACUUCAACCAAUGGUGGAGUCGGGUCUAUCACGGUUUGGUCUGAGUCGAGUCUGUCGAGAAUAGAUCGCUCACGAAGAUGUUCCGGGUAGCCGAUGGGGUGGUCGUUGGAGGAUCCGGUGAUUCUUGAUUUAAUAUAGGAUAAUCGACGUUUUGUUGUUCUGGGCUUAUUGGACGUCAAUGGUUCUGGGCUUGCACUUUGGGCUCAUUUAGACUUAGUGAGUCUUGGGCUUGAAGUGUUAAUUCGGCGAAUUCGGGCUUCAUUUUUAUUACAAGGAUAGUGACUGUUGGGCUUAAUUGGGCUUGUUUGGAUUUAUUUUUGGUUGAGUUGGCUUUGGGUUUGA